rnacentral:lncRNA from 1 species
GACAGACGUACCAUGGUGGAAGUGGAUGGCAGAGGUCAGCUGCUCACCCUACAGCAGUCAGCAAUCAGGAGAAAGAAAAGGGAAGAGCCAAGGACGAGAACACACCCUUUCCAGGUCAUGCCCCUGUGUCCUACCUCCAACCACGUGCCAUCUCCUGCCAGAACAUUCAGCUAUUCACUCAGGAUGGGAAGAACCCACUGAUGACUAAGUUGUCCCCAUGACUCAGUCACCUUCUAGAAGCACCACCUCUGAACACAUGAGAAUUUGACGGGACAUUUUAGAUCUAAACCAUAUGGCCGGGUAUAUAUAUAUAAAAGUUAAGUAUUGUAUGUAUUUGCACAAAAAUUCUAGCUCACUCUCUCAGAAUGACAGUACUGAUUUGUUUUAAAGCGGGACACGUUCACUCACGGCAUCAUCAGACCUGUUUUAACAUUCCACAGUCAUUAUUUUGAUUCUAUUUUUGGUUCUAUACUUGUUGCCACAUUUUGGUAAGCGGCGACGGUUAUGAGUCUCUGUGAUGCAGUUGCCCCAGCAAAGCCCUCCCCUCACAAUGACGCUCAACAAGUUCAGGAAAGCUAACACACUGCUCUGCACACAGAACGCCUCCACUGCUUGUGACACUGAGGGGCAUCAGGAAUGAAAAGAGCAGCAGAGGUCGGUUUGUGCAAAGACAGUAGCAGGUACUUCAGGAAUUAUUCCCAAGGGUGGAGAGUACUAGAAGGCCAUGAAUCUCACAAGAAUCCUGCUGUACUGCAGAUGUGUCAGUUUUCAAAAGCUAACAGGACUAGGGCCCCGCCGUCCUGGACUGCCCGCCUCAUCUCUGGGAUGGACUACACAAGAGCAGCAGGUGGGAAGCAGUGGUCCACCUUUGGAAACGUCCUCCUCACAGCUUCCUGCUGCUUCUCAGGGUGACUUGUGUCUUCUCUUGUGGGCUGAGGACAGAUGUUGGUAGGAGGGAACACUCCCUCACCUCUGGCAGAGACAUGGGUAUUGGUGAUCCUUUCCCUGGUGCCAGUUAUCAGGGACCCCUGCCGUGAGCCCCCAAUCUCCUGCCAAGUGUGACAACAUACAGUGGAGAAAAAAGAGCAAGAGACAAAAUAGAGGUACAGGCAGGGAUCUGGAUGACCAGUUGUUCCCGGAGAACAAGAGGCCACGUCACCCAGAACCUUGGUAUUUCCUCAUUACAUCUGAGUCAAGGUCAAUGGGCGAAGGGCAGUGGGUGUUUCGGGAACAGUAGUGGCAACCACUGUGGAACAAAGCAUUCCUCCAAGGACAAAGACAAGGACCAAGAGAGGGGUGGAUAACAAGGAAACUAUAGUUUCCCCAGGUGCCUUACCAUCUUCAGCAGGUCUUAUCUUGCCCUGUGAACCCCACGGCAGUCACUAGCCCUAUGGCUUCCAGCUGUGACCAGAAAAGAGCAGGGAGUGUCACUGUCUCAAUCUGGCUCACGGCAGGACAAGAACAAGCGUGAAGGGCCACUAGACUCAAUUUAUAAUUCGUGGUGCCCAACACAUGGGAGAGUUGGGGCGGGGUGACUGGGCCUGUCACUUCCCUGAGGCUGGGGGAACUGCAGCCCUCAGAACUCUUCUUUCAACGUGGCAGCCACUGCGGGGCACACGCAAUGCAGUGCCUUCAACGGAGACUGGCAGCAUAAAACAGAGUGAAUUUAAGAGUUAGCAUCUCCUCAAAAGAUGUUAACGCUUCACUGAUAAUUACAGCUGUGGCUCAUGACUGCUUAUAUUAGACUUUGCUGCUGCGGUGGACCCUACCCUUUUCAAAGCUCAGGUUGCCUCCUCAAAAGGAGCAGAGGCCAGAAGUUUCCAAAAUCUGAAAUUUACAACGAGUCUGUUAUUUUAGGGAAGAGGGAAAGCAGAAGUAAAAAACAUUAAGAUGUGUUAUCUCCAGAUACCAACUCCCCAAGGUGAAUGUAAUCAAUAUGCACUGCAAACAUGGACUAACAGAAGACAAACCCCGUCAUUUUAUUGUUUC